rnacentral:snRNA from 1 species
GUGCUUAUUUCAGCAGCACAUAUACUAAAAUUGGAAUGAUACAGAGAAGAUUAGCAUGUCUCCUGCACGAGAAUGACACGCAAAUUUGUGAAGCAUUCCAUAUUUUU